rnacentral:piRNA from 1 species
UUUAUAUAUGCUAACAUAGAUAAUAUGUGC